UUGUGGUUUUUUGUUUUUGCAGCUUGCAGAGCUGACAGGGCUGGGAGACUUGAUCGUGGGCCAGUGGGAAGACGAGAUUCGCUCAAGGGAAAGGUUACCCGGCAACAGUUGCACGACGGGGAGAUGACUUCUGAGGAGCAAAAAGACAAUAUAUGUAAGAUUGGAUUUCCCAAGAGACAAAACUCCAGCAGCAGAUUACACAAUUAUUUGCCAAGUUAUGCAGAGGGAGGUUUUUCGGCUGCAUUUUCCAAAGUAUUGUCCUGGAAAAACUAACCGUGUGAAACUGCUUUGCCAAAAACGUAUCCCAUAACACUUGCAGAAUACAUAUAUCUCCAGAUAUGUCCACCCCUUGGCCUGCAGGCUCCGUGCAGCCUCAGACAGCUGGCAGCUCAGCCCCCCAAGAUGGGAAACUGUUAACGUUCUCCCACGACUUUUAGCAAUAUUUUUCAGGAUUCUUCGCUCAAACAUGGAUUGAGUGGGGGACAGAGAAACUCCACUAACUCUGCUUCCUGCGCUGGCUGCCCAGUUGGUGGAAUUGAAAACCUUUUUAAAAAUGUGAUCACAAAAAAUAUUUUGAAAAGAAGUUUUGUUUCUUGGAUACACAAGCUACAGUAUAUAUUUCACAUGUGGCCCAAGACAGUUCCUUUCCAGUCAAGGUGGCCCUGGGACUCCAAACUAUCCGGCGCCUGUGUGUCUAACAGCAUCAUGACAAUUGAUCUCCCAUCCACCAGUCUGUUUGGGGUCUUUAUGAGACCUUUAAUUUGUGUUUGGUUUGCUUAAGGGGGGUAAAAAAAGAAUUAAAAAAAAAAAAAAA